rnacentral:lncRNA from 1 species
AGCUUUUUAGUUAUAGUGAGAGCUUUCGGAAGAGCUUUUUAGGUCAAGAUCAUAGGAAGAGGGAAGAACAAGGGAGAAGAUCUCAUUUAAAGAAAGACGAUUCUAAAAGAAAGUCAAAAUGUAAUACACCUUUCAUUUAGAACAACUUUCGAUGUGUCCGAAGUUAUUCGACCAUGAUCCUCCUCUUCUUUGUUCUUCGACAAUUGAUCGUCUUCUUCUUUGUUCUUUGACAAAUGAUUCCUAUCGGAAACACCCCCCUCCCCACCUCAAGUUGAGGGAGCUAUCAAAAGUCUUCAACUUGCCCAUCAUUGGUGGUGAUGAAGAUUAGUGAGUGGCUUAGCAAAAUAUGUCUGGAGAGUUAAAAGCUAGAUGGAACAAAAUGAAGUGAAAUCUCAAACAGGCCAGAUACUGUGAACGAAUAAAAUAUGACAAUCAAGCUUCAAAUGCUUGGUUCUCUCAUGAAA